UGUCCACUGAGACACCCUCCGUGGGAAAGUUAGUGGUUGCUCUCAUCUUCUCGUGUCUGAACAUGGUGCGGACUAGAGCAGACAGUUUCCUGGGCACCUACAGAAAAGUGGUGGCUGCCCGAGCCCCCAGGAAAGUGCUUGGUUCCUCCACCUCUGCCACUAACUUCACUUCACCUUCCUGGAGGAAAGCUGAAAAUAAGUAUGCAAGAGGGAAUCCAGUUUGUGUGCGCCCAACUCCCAAAAGGCAAAAAGGAAUUGGAGAGUUCUUCAGACUGUCCCUAAAGAUUCUGAUAGAGAAUCAGAUUCCUGUAGAGGCAGGAAGCAGUGGUUUAGGAAAAGGAAAGAGAAAAGUACAUUCUUUGCCACCUGAUGACACAGAUGAAAAAAAAAUAGAACUUUCUUAUUCAUCCUUGGCUAAUGUCUCCUGUUUACUCUGGUAUCCUAGGAUGUAA